GCAUGAAUCAGGUCUUCAUGGUCGAAUUGCUACAAAGAAACCACUACUAAAGGACACCAAUAAGAAGAAGAGACUUGCUUGGGCCAAGAAACACGAACAAUGGACAUUUGACCAGUCUUUUGGUCUGGACAAUGACCCAACACACCUCCAGGCUGUGUAAGGGCUAUUUGACCAAGAAGGAGAGUGAUGGAGUGCUGCAUCAGAUGACCUGGCCUCCACAAUCACCUGAUUUGUUCAACUACAUGAUUCCAUGUGUUAUUCCAUAGUUCUGAUGUCUUCACCAUUAUUCUACAAUGUAGAAAAUAGUCAAAAUAAAGAUCAACACCUUGAAUGAGUAGCCGGAAACAACUGUUGGAUAUCAGAGUUGCGGUAACUGACCAGCAUUACGACCAGGAAUAUGACUCAUGGUGUGAUUGUGAUAACAUACAGAAACUCAAGUCCUUCUGUUCACCCGACCUAGAAUACCUCACAAUCAAAUGCCGACUGUAUUACUUCCCAAGAGAAUUCUCUUCAAUUAUAGUCACAGCCAUGUAUAUUCCCCCUCAAGCCGAUACCACGACGGCCCUCAAAGAACUACAGUAGCUCUCAGUAGCCGAUGUGAGCAAGACCUUAAAACAGGUCAACAUUCACAAAGCCGCGGGGCCAGAAGGAUAACCAGGGCGUGUACUCAGAACAUGCGCGGACCAACUGGCAAAUAUCUUCAGUAACAUUUCCAACCUCUUCCUGACUGAGUCUGUAAUAGCUACAUGUUUCAACCAGACCACCAUAGUCCCUGUGCCCAAGGGAUUGAAGGUAUCCUGCCUAAAUGAUUACCGCCCCGUAGCACUAACGUCAGUAGCCAUGAAGUGUUUUGAAAGGCUGGUCAUGGCUCACAUCAACAGCAUCCUCCCGGAUACCCUAGACCCACCCCAAUUCGCAUACCGCCCCAACGGAUCCACCGAUGACGCAAUCUGAAUUGCAAUCCACACUGCCCUUUCCCACCUGUAUAAAAAGAACACCUAUGUGAAAAUGCUGUAUGAAAGUGCUUUGAGAGGCUAAGGAUAAGGAUCAUAUCACCUCUACCUUACCUGACACCCUAGACCGCCCCAAUAGAAC
ensembl:lncRNA